GGAUAACCUACCUAUAAGACUGGGAUAACUUCGGGAAACCGGAGCUAAUACCGGAUAACAUGUUGAACCGCAGGUUCAACAGUGAAAGACGGUUUUGCUGUCACUUAUAGAUGGAUCCGCGCCGCAUUAGCUAGUUGGUAAGGUAACGGCUUACCAAGGCAACGAUGCGUAGCCGACCUGAGAGGGUGAUCGGCCACACUGGAACUGAGACACGGUCCAGACUCCUACGGGAGGCAGCAGUAGGGAAUCUUCCGCAAUGGGCGAAAGCCUGACGGAGCAACGCCGCGUGAGUGAAGAAGGUCUUCGGAUCGUAAAACUCUGUUAUUAGGGAAGAACAAAUGUGUAAGUAACUAUGCACGUCUUGACGGUACCUAAUCAGAAAGCCACGGCUAACUACGUGCCAG
rnacentral:rRNA from 1 species